UUUGAGUUUGAUCGUGGCUCAGAUUGAGGGGUUGCGGCAGGCUUAACACAUGCAAGUCGAGCGGUAGCACAAGGGAGCUUUGCUCCCUGGGUGACGAGCGGCGGACGGGUGAGUAAUGUCUGGGAAACUGCCUGAUGGAGGGGGAUAACUACUGGAAACGGUAGCUAAUACCGCAUAACGUCGCAAGACCAAAGAGGGGGACCUUCGGGCCUCUUGCCAUCAGAUGUGCCCAGAUGGGAUUAGCUAGUAGGUGGGGUAAUGGCUCACCUAGGCGACGAUCCCUAGCUGGUCUGAGAGGAUGACCAGCCACACUGGAACUGAGACACGGUCCAGACUCCUACGGGAGGCAGCAGUGGGGAAUAUUGCACAAUGGGCGCAAGCCUGAUGCAGCCAUGCCGCGUGUGUGAAGAAGGCCUUCGGGUUGUAAAGCACUUUCAGCGAGGAGGAAGGUGGUGAACUUAAUACGUUCAUCAAUUGACGUUACUCGCAGAAGAAGCACCGGCUAACUCCGUGCCAGCCGCCGCCGUAACACAA
rnacentral:rRNA from 1 species